rnacentral:rRNA from 1 species
UACGUAGGAGGCGAGCGUUGUUCGGAGUUACUGGGCGUAAAGGGUGUGUAGGCGGUUGUUUAAGUUUGGUGUGAAAUCUCCCGGCUCAACUGGGAGGGUGCGCCGAAUACUGAAUGACUAGAGUGCGGGAGAGGAGAGUGGAAUUCCUGGUGUAGCGGUGAAAUGCGUAGAUAUCAGGAGGAACACCGGUGGUGUAGACGGCUCUCUGGACCGUAACUGACGCUGAGACACGAAAGCGUGGGUAGCAAACAGG